UCAAAAAAAUAAAAUAAAAAUAAAAAACAAUAAAAACUCACUGAGCAGUUGGGAAAGUUCAGGUGGAACAGGCAGUGAAUAGCAAACACGGUGGGGGCGUUCACUGUCAUGAGCGGCCAUGCCGGCCAUAGUCAGCAGACCUGUCUUCUGCUUGGCAGCAGGCAGGUUGAUAAACAUUUUCUUGGAGAGUUUCUUGAUUCUUCCCAGUUGUGGCAGGAUGGACUGACUUAGAAGAGCUCAGGAAGGUUGUUAAAGAACACAGAAAAACAAGAUGAAUUGUACUCCUUAGCAGGCCUAGGUUAGAGCAGCAUGUCCGUGAAGCCUCAGCCUAUCCUGGGACACAGCAUAAUGCCCCUAAUGAUUUGAAAUUUGGUGGAGAGUGGGUUACUAAUCCCUGUGUCCAGGGGGAAAAAGGGACAUCAAUAGCAAAAGGUUAUAAAAUAAGUGGGCCUAACAUCAGCUUAUUGCGGGGGGUAGGGAUUUAAGAUGUAAGAAUUUACCUGCAUGUGGAAGCUCACACCUGUAAUCUCAGCACUUGGGGAGGCCAACGCGAGAGGACGGCUUGAGCCCAGGAGUUUGACAUGAGCCAGGCAACAUAGUAAGUCCCCAUUCGCACAAAAAUGUUUUUGAAGAAAAGUAGUUGAGAGUGGGUACUCAUGCCUGUAGUUCCAGGUACCUGGGAGGCUGAGGCAAGAAAAUCGCUUAAGCCUGGGAGACUGAGGCUGCAGUGAGCUAUGAUCACAAUGCACACCAGCCUGUGAGUCAGGAGACCCUAGCUGGUGCCCCGAAGCUCCCCCUCCACUGGUAGAUGUCGGCUCAAGUAGGUCCUGAGGACAAGAGUCUCGGGGGUCUGGCCCUGAAGGCUCCGAAGCCCCCACUCGCACAAAGACCCCUAUUAUAUCCGCACUCCAGCCGCCAACACGACUGCCACAGAAGCCCCCGCCCAGGCGUCAAUGAACCUGUUUAAAGGGGCCGCAGCCGGAAUUGGAACAGCAAAGGCGUCGGCCUGGGCAAUACGCAUGCGCGUGGUUCUACCCCAUUCUCCUGUCACAAUGACUCCAACGGUUGGCUGAGGACAACUCCCUGAACUUUAACAGAGCAGGACCCCUCCGUGGCAGUGCCUCAGUGUCCAGACACCAGCCUGACCAAUCCAGGGGGUCGAAAAAACAGUUUCAGGACAGCCUGCUACACCGAGGGCUGACCAGGAUGGAGAAACAGCAGACAGAGAACAGGGAAAGCAGAGCGGAAUCCCAGCCUCAGGCCUCCCGGACGAUGUUCAGGUGAGCCCCCCGAAAGCCGUGCCCCCGUGAUCUCGAGACAGCUCUGCCUGUGUGCCCGUGGGCUGCUCUCUCACCUGAAGGUCGUGCUCCCGAAGAACAGAACCCCUCAGCCUCAGGGAUUGUCUGGGGGUGUGUGUUUCUCUGCCAUUGCUGUAUGUCUGUGUGCGUGCGUCUCCUCUCUUCUCUCUCUGCCUCUCACUGUCUGUCUGUUUCUCUCGCUUUCUUUGUCUCUGUGUGUGUGUGCCUGUGUGCGUGUGUGUUGGGAUGAAUGUGUCCAGGGCGCUACAAAGCAACUUCUUGCAGGAAGGCCGGUCUUUGGUGAGCCUCUUUCUGCCUCCCGGGUUGGGUCAUGUGCCGGUUGUCAAUCCUUUCCGUGGCAGUUCCACUCUGGCUUUGUGAAGGCCUCGAUAAUGUGAGCAGAUGCGUCCGUCUCAGGGAAAUUGAUUUUCAUUCCGAUCCUGAGCAGCCUCUUUUCCACGAUCAAGAUGACCACACUCCAGCCAAAAAAAGAAAAGCCUCAAAGAGCACAUUGUCCUGCAGGAGGGGAGCAGACCGAGGUGAAAGGAGAUGGUUCUAUCCCCUUGCGUCUCUUCUCAGAGGAAUGAAGAAACACCACGAAACAAUCUUAAAGAAAAAGCUGAGAACGGGAAGCGAAACCGUGUCUUUCAAAGGCACGCAAGUCUCUCAGGAUAAGCCACCUGAUUUGCACUCCUCCCCUUAUGCCUGAAGCAAUGGUUUCCAGGAGUUCUUCAAUGGUUUCCAUCUGCUCUAGGGGACGCCAGUGUCAUAUGUGGUCACAUUGGCGCCACUUCGGAAUCGCCUCUGGACCUCUUUACACGUGUGUGGAAAGCUGGAACAGCUUGCAGGAGCCCCAGGCCCUUUAUAAUCAUGGCAGCCCACUGCUCUUUCAAAGGAGGGAGGCAGAGGGCUCACGGGUCAGAGAACUUUCAGCUCACACCACGCCUUGGGGCUCAUGUGAUCAUUCUGGGCUGAAAAGAGGCCAUGCCUGCCUCAGUAGAUGUGCUCAGCAAAUCCAUUCUCCCCCGGAGGGGUCCAGAAUCGGAUCUGAUGGGGGGUUGACCCCAGCUGGCGCCCUGAAGCUGCCGCUCCGGCGGUGGAAAUCGGCUCAAGGAAGUCCUGAAGACUGGACCCCUGGGGGUUUGAACCUAGGAGGCCGCCCGCAGCCGCCUAUUGCACGCGGCCCCAUACUGAACCCCGGAUGCGGCCGCUGGCAAGGCUGCAGCAGGAGAGCCCCUGGCGCCCAGCGGCCACCUUCGUUUAAAGGGGACGCAGCCUGACUGCCGCGGAGCGCUGGUCGGCCCAGCCAAUGCGCAUGCGCGAGUGGCGAGCGGGUGCUCUUGCGUCACAGUGGUUCCCAUGGUUGUCAGAGAAACCACGCCCUGAGGCCUGGCACACAGGAGCCCUCCGCGGCGGCAGUGCUUGGGUGGCGGGGCUCCGAGGCUCCAGCCAGACCUCUCCACGGGGUCGACAGGACUGUCUCCGGAUGCCAGGAGUCGUGGCAAAGGGCUGAGCAGGAUGUUGAAAGCCCAGGCGGAGUCCGGGGGAAGCAGCGCCGCAUCCCAGCCUCAGGCCCGCCCGGACGCUGUUCGGGUCAUUGAUCUGCUUCUCAAAAAUGGCAGGGUAUAGCCAGCCACAUGGGGAAGAUGGAAUCAAGACACUUACGGCAAUAAACUAGAAUUCAGCUGGGAUUGUCCAAAACUUGGACUGAUUCUGUACCUUUCACACAGAGCUCUUUUGAAAAAAAGGGCAGGUGUCACUGCUGCACUAAAAGGGAAGGCAAGAGUGGAAGCAGGCAUGAGUAGUCAGGGACGACUGCCAUGGUCCAGGAGGAGGACAAGGGAGACCCCGCCGUUCGGAGGC